CCCACAUACAAUAUAGGGGUGAAAGUGGUGUCUUCUGGUUGGUCUACAGUGCUCAGCUGUAAGCCCAAUCUCACUUUGGGUCUAGUAUUUUGCACACCACCCCCUUGUUAGGAAACCUCCCACCAUGUUGUGGGUUUUUCUGACUUUGGCAAGUUCCACCCAGUUGUCUGGUUUGCCCCAGCUGUAAUCUGCCUUGGGAUCCACAUGUCUGUCCUCCAGCAGAGGAGAAAGUCAAUUUGUCGAGCUAUGAGACAGCAAUAGCAGCUAACAGUAUUGGCCCCAAAGAUGCAUGUUCCCCUGUGGGGGUGUUAACCUGAAGAUCAAACUGGGGCGUUGGGUGUCCAGGUAGUGUAGAACGAGUUCGAAACAAUCAUGGCUAAACAGCUCCUGGAAGUUCCUUGCUGGCCCACUUCUGAGAUGCUAUGCACUCACUUUCCCUGAGGACAGGCAAGGACCUGGGGCGCCUGCACCCCAGCUGUGACUCCUGCCACAGUUUUGCUGAGCCUGGGGUGUCAUGGCCUGGGCCUCCUCUACCUACAAGAUCCUUCUGUAGUGACAAGCUCUACAAGAGUGCUCUCCCUGGCAGCUCCAGGGACUGGCUUGAGUGUAGGCUGUCUGACAAACCUAGAUACGGUAGGCCCUGGCAUGGAGCAGGCUAAUAAAGGCUUCCAAGAAGUGAAGGUCUGUGUGGCCAGGGGGCGCUUGAUGUGGCUGAUCUGAAAAGCAAGAGGACUCAAGGGCUGGAAAACAGCUCAGGUUGCUCAACUGAGUGGGAAGCUGUCCUUACUUUGAAAAGCAUGUGAGGUCAGUUGGAGUGGAGUCUGCCCAGCUGGGUCAGUUCUGAGCCUAAUGAUGAGGGCUUUACUGAAAAUGCCUAGGUCGUCCCCGUUCAUAGGCAGCUUCAAGGGCUGUCAAUUCUGUUCAAAGUUGAGAUGGGCACGCUGGGUUCUCAUUCAGAAGUAGCAGCAGCUGGCUCGCUCUUGUAGUAGAGCUACUGUUAACCAGGACACUAGUCUCUGGCCCUCUUGAAGGUGGUUUAGAUUUAUUUUUAUUACGUGUUUAUCAUACAAGGAUUAUUCAACCAUGGGGAGUUGGUACAUGUCUGUAACGCCUUUUAAUCCUUUCUAUGGCCCCUUCCUUCCCCUCCCUUCGUCUCUUGGUUGUCCUCCCAUUUGCAAAAGAUCUAUCUCCAUUUCCUAUUGUGUUCCAAUAUAAAGUGGAAUAAGACAUACAAGCUUAAAUAUCACAUGGUUUUCCUUGUAUGAGAAACCCAGAGUAAACUGGAGAUAGUUUUGUAGCUUUAUGCUAGUAUAUGAACUUAAGUUCACAUGGGAAAAUGGCUUAAUUGUGAUAAUUAUACGGUGGCUAGAUCUCGAGCAGCGCCCAUAGUGUAAGUGCGCUCAGUAAAGGUGAGCUGUUGGCUGGAAGGUUCACUCCCCGCUGAGCGCAUAUGGCUGUCACAGGCGCUGACAAGUUAUUUGUGCAGCAAGGAGAUCCCACUGGUCAUUGGUGACAAAGGCCAUUUGAACCCAAGUGCUCUUUAUCUUCCUAUAGCCCGGCAGUCUCUAAGCCAAGUGAUGGUCCCUCAUUCCUGUCUGCUUAGUCAGCUUUCAUCUGUGCAGGCAGAGAAGUCUCAGGCUAUAUCCUGAGGAGUCACCUAAAAUUAAAAUACUUGACAUGGGAAGCUGCUUAGUUGUCAAGGCUCUAAGUAUGGGGCUGGGGGGGUAUAGAGAUCUUACAAGGUCGAAGUUGGGCCAGUAAACCAGAAAAGGUCUAAAACUGUACAAAUUCAAAGACUAAAACCAGGGGGAUGGAAACAAUGUUUAGAAUCUUGUAGCCUGAAUAUUUCCUCAGUGUCCUGUAGUUGACACAUGUCAUUUGCUACAACCUUGGACUCCUGACCCCAAAAUUGUGUGGUAAACUGUAAGAGUUCGUGAUGAAAAGCCACGAAGACAGAAGAAAUAACAAGUUCAUCUCUAGCACUGUUCUAGCUACAGUUCCCUGGGAUAGAAGCAGAAGGUAAAGGUUUCGGGCAAGUGGCAGUGGUUUAACACCAGGCUUAAAUCCUUAUUGGCUAAGUCUGAAUGGGCCCAGGAACUCCUGGUUUGAAACCAGCUUUGGUUGGGUGACACUGGGCUGUUAAAAAGUCCCAAGUCUGAAGCUCACAUCAGGAGUUGCAGCCUCGAGAGGGUCCCAGCCUGCUCUGCCGGUAACCAGGUCGGAAUGCACCGAGUGCAGAAGGAAAUCUGGUGGUGUGGCCUUGCUAUUAAACUCCAAGGGACUGAUUCUCACUGGAGCCUGAAAUUCCAUACUGAAUCUUUGGAAUCUUUGCCUGCUACUGAUGCUGCUUUAGCUCAUGUCCAUUUUAACUGCUUUUAUGAUCUGUAUUCCUCAGUACAACACUCCCAUUCACUCUCCAGCACUGACUUCCCAGGAAACCUGGCAAGUGAUUUUUGUCAUGACCGUUAAUCUUGGUUGGAUUUAGAAACGGCUGGGAAGCUAAUCAAGCACACUUUUAGGUGUCUGUGAAGGCAUUUCCAGAGAUGAGUGCCUCAUGGGACAGCACACUCACGGUGACAGCAUCCUGAAUGUGGACAGCACCAUCCAAUAGGAUGGUGAUUCAGAUGGAACAAAAGCGGAAGGAGGAAGCCUCUAGCACAGGCUGGCUGCUGCUUUCUGCUUCCAGCUGCCAUGAAAUAAGCAGUUUUCCUCCACCAUGCACUUCACUGGGAUGUUCUACCUCACUUCAGGCCCGCAGCAAUGGAACCAGCCGACCAUAAAGCUAUGAGCCAGAAUACUUUUCCUGCUUUAAAGUUGUUUAUGGUCAGGUAUUUUGUCACAGUGAUGAAAGCUGACUAACAUAUCUAGUCUUUUGACAACAUUGUACUGUCUUGUUUACUGUAGCCUUAUGAAGUCUUGAAAUUAGAGAAAUUUUCUACC
ensembl:lncRNA